rnacentral:rRNA from 1 species
AUGGCCUUCGGCUUCCUCGACCCGGUCUCCAACAUCAUCGCCAACACCAUCGCCUAUGCCCAAUCACCGGCGCCUGGAUCCGACGAGGAGGAGGAGGCACCGGCGCUAGAAUUCGUCUUCGAACUACCGCUUUGCCGGCACAAGUCCACUGGCAUGACCCUAGCGCAGUGGUCGCUCGACGAUCUUGUCAACUUCCUCACCACCCGCUUCCCCUACGUGUAUGUUAGGGAAGCCCUGAGCUACCUGCUCCUGGCCAGGGCCGACUAUCUGGUCGUCGUGUGCCUCAUCGAGCGAGGUCAUAACAAGCGUCACAACGCAUCGAGGAUCACUUCCCGUACCACCAUGGUCGCCUUGGAAUGUGGGCCGUGUGUGAGAGGCAUCCUGAACCAAAUGUCCUGGUGA